rnacentral:tRNA from 1 species
GUUGUGGCUCAGUGGUAGAGCACUCGCCUAGCAUGUGGGAGGUUCAAUGUGGUUCAAUCCUCAGUACAACA